UGGGGAAUUUUGCACAAUGGGGGAAACCCUGAUGCAGCGACGCCGCGUGAUUUAGAAGGCCUUCGGGUUGUAAAAAUCUUUUCUAUGGGAAGAAAAUGACAGUACCAUAGGAAUAAGGACCGGCUAAUUACGUGCCAGCAGCCGCGGUAAUACGUAAGGUCCGAGCGUUGUCCGGAAUCAUUGGGCGUAAAGGGUACGUAGGCGGGUAAGCAAGUUAGAAGUGAAAUCCUAUAGCUCAACUAUAGUAAGCUUUUAAAACUGCUCAUCUUGAGAUAUGGAAGGGAAAGUGAAAUUCCUAGUGUAGCGAUGAAAUGCGCAGAUAUUAGGAGGAAUACCGGUGGCGAAGGCGACUUUCUGGCCAUAACCUGACGCUGAGGUACGAAAGCGUGGGUAGCAAACAGG
rnacentral:rRNA from 1 species